rnacentral:misc_RNA from 1 species
AUGAAAAAUAUUCCAAUAGCCAGAGCCGUAAGUAAUAAAAAAAAAUUGAACUUGAAAAUAUAGCAAAAUAUCGUCAAAGGGAAAUUUUUAAGUCAAUACUUUUCUGGAUUCAUAUGAAUUUAUUGUUGAAUAGCAAUAAUCUACGAAAGUAUGUGAUUGGUUUUUCUAACGUCAAUAUUUAUAAAUAUUAAUGCAGCGAAGUGGUAAUACGAACAUAACCUCAGUGUUUACGAGAAGAUAAAAGAUUGUUUUAAAUUCUUAUACAUUAUUGUCUUUGAGAAUAGGUUGAUGAUAUUAUGUUGUUGUGACUAAAGUUUUCUGCACAUCUUGCCUUUGUACUGCUAUGGAUGAUGACUGCAAGGAAUACAGGAAAAAUAAACCACAACAAAAGUUUUAUAAGCCUGGUAGUGGACCAUUAAGACGUUCAAGUUAUGGUUUAGAUACAAAAAUGGAUGUACAUGAUUCAGAUAAUAGCGGUAAAAGAUAUAGGUCGCACUAUGGAUCGCAGUAUUCUAUUAAUGAUGAUUUGAGUGAUGCACACAGUGAACAUUCUGUUUCUAAUAUUCGCCAUAAUAAUAGAAAACCUGAACAACAGCUUUACAUGCCUAGAUCAGGAGAUUCUGAAGUAGAUAAACAGUCUCGAACAUCCACCAGGUAUGAUAAUUCUAGUCAUUACAACAACAGAUCUAAUAAUACAGAUAAACAUGGCAUGAAUAGUGCUGGUUACAAUAGAGGAUCAAGAAGAGAUAGAACAUAUUAUGGAGACUACCACAAUAAGGCUGGAGGACAAAAUGACAUAAACUAUAACAGACCAUAUAGACAGCCUUCAGAAACUAGGUCUAUAUCACCUACUCACAGUGCUCAAGAUCAAAAAGUUCUAGAUAGAAAUCGGGACAGCAAAAGUAUGGAAACAUCAGCAGGGAGACACAUGUCCUCAUCUGGAGGGAAGCCCCCUUCUGGACGAAGAAACUCUGCUGGUUAUAUAUCAGACACAUCUAGACCUAAGUAUAUGGUUAAUUUAGACAAUAUACCUCCAAGAUUUAGGAAGAAAUUUUUAGAACAAUCAGCACACCACAGUGUUGAUAACAUGGAACAAGCUUGCAGAGAUAAGUCCUCAUCUAAUUACUCAUUGCAACCUGCUGCUACUGAUGACCAUGUCUACAAUUCAAACUCAAAUUGGUCUCAAACAUUACCCUCUAGAGGCAGAGGAAGGUUAAGAGACCAUGAAGGGUUUGAUAGGGACAAGUUUAUAAACACUUACCUAAAAACAUAUGAAAAACAGAAUUCAAGACAGUCUACUCCUAGCAGUUCAUAUAUCAAUUUGUAUGAGUUUAGUAACACAGAUCAAGGGUUUGUAAAGAAUAAACCCAAUCCAAUGAGUAGAAGUACAGAGAGUAAAAGUGAAUUUGAGAAUGCAGCACAACAAAAUGGAUUAAACAAUAUGAAAGUCCAAAUACCCUCUCAUAGUGACAAACAGAAUUAUAAACAAGACAUAGAAUGUGAACCUGACAAUGAAACAUCCCAGGUGUCUACUACAUUAUCAGACCUGACUAAUUUGGACUGGACAGAAGAAGUGGAAAAAAAUAUCCAACUAGAUGAUACAUGUGAUACAUCAACAAGUUUUUCCCAAAACUUAAAAAAAUCAAAUGCUGAAGAAUUGAAACCACAGGAGACAAAAGAAUCGAAGCGUAGUGGAAGGUCUAGGCGUAAAGACAGACGAAGCUCCAGUAGGGGUGUCAGAAAUGCUGAGAAGAAAGAAAGAAAUAGAAAGGACAGUACUGCUAGUGUGCAGCAUGACAUGGAGAGUACAAGAAAAGACAGCAAUGUCAGUUUGCAAAAUGAUCUUAUGUCAUUGAGUUUAAGACGAAGAGAAAGAGAAAGAAGAGACAGUUAUAGAAGCAAUCGUUCAUCCACUAUCGGUAACAGCAGAGACGACUUAGACCGGUGGCGCUCUUUACGCUCCUAUAGUAGAGAGCAGAGUACUGAAGGAAGAAUAAUGUCCCAAUGCAACAGUAGAGAUACAUCGCUCGGUCGAGCUCUCAGUCCGAGAGAUAACGACGGGUUUCGAGUUCCUUCCGCCGUCAAUAAACCGGCCGCUUGGUCGUCGAUGAGUCAGAAAAAUAGUGCACCAGGCAACGGGCGUACGUCUAGCGUGGAACGAGGUCGCCAGUCGCCGGCAACUGUGACCGCGACGGUGGCGAGCGGUGGCGCAGAAGGCGGCGGCGGGCGGCGUUCCAAGCGGCGCUCGGGUCGCCGCCGCGCCCGUGGGGCCGACCCGCCCGCGCACGCGCAGCCCGUCGCGCACGCAGCGCCCGCCGCGCACACCGCGCACACCGCGCCCGCCGCGCACGCCGCGCACGCCGCGCACGCCGCACCCGCCGCCGCGCACGCCGCGCCACUCAGCUGGCGAGAAGAGAUCAUCGAGUCCAAGAGACUCAGUGCGCAUGACAAGUAUCCAGAGAACCCUAGUCACCGUAAUGUCGCAAAUAGUAGUGCGUCCGAAAAAUCUGAGACUACUAAUCAUUACCCAGGACUAAUAAUGCUUCCACAGGGAUCUAUUACUCAUCUGCAAAAAGACUUGGGACGGGGCCAGGGAACGGAAAAUCAAAAAACAUUAUUUGAUCAUCAGAAUCCAUCCAAACCAAUCAUUGUGCAGACAAGUCCAACGAAAGUAGAUCUGAGAAUGGAACGAGGUAUGAAAGAGACGUCGAGUCGCAACACAAUGACGUACGACAGUAACGAGGCGGCGCGCGCGGCGCGGCACCGCUCGCUGCUGCAGGAGGUGGACCGCGCCGACGUCAUCCUGCAGGCGCACAUGCUCAAGGGACCCGUCGGGCUGGCGGACCACUGGAGCGACGUCACCGACACGAGAACAUUCUUACAAAAUGCACUCCAAAGACUAUUAAUGUCAGACCUGAAGUAUUGUCAAGCGGACAAUAUCGAGCACCAGUUUUGGAAAAUAUUAUACUAUAAUUUCAUUGAAAUUUUAAGAAAGAGUUUCCCUCAAUUAUCAGCUGAAGACAAACCGAAAAUAAUUAAUCUUAUAAAUAUUAUCAUAGAAGAAGGUAAUACGUUUUUUGAGAAUCUCGUCCAAAUGUUGGAGAAAGCUUAUAAAUUUAAUGUGGACGACUACCUUAACGAUAGUCAUGCCUUGCCGCCCAAAGGGCUUGGGUACGUUGGCCUCGCUCUCAUAUCGGUGCAAAAACUGUAUGUGUAUCUCGGCGACCUCGCCAGAUACAAAGAACAAGUGAACGAAACAAACAAUUAUGCUAAGAGUAAACUGUGGUACACUAAAGCUCAACAAAUCAACCCGAAGAAUGGAAGGCCAUACAACCAACUAGCGAUAUUAGCAAUAUACGCGAGAAGAAAAUUAGAUGCGGUUUACUACUACAUGAGAAGUUUAAUGUCUUCGAAUCCCCUCCAGUCAGCAAGAGAAAGUUUACAAUCGUUGUUCGACGAAAAUAGAAAAAAGUAUGAAGCUGCGGAGAGGAAGCGACGUGCGGUUGCCGAAGGCGGCCGCAGCGGGGAGGCGGAGCGCGCCGGAGCGGGCGCGGCGGGCGCGGCGGGCGCGGCGGGCGCGGGCGGCGAGGUGUGGCUGCGGCCCGGCGAGCGCCGCGCCGGCCGGGCGCCGCGCGCGCCGCACGACCCGCUCGCCAACAUGUCGUCUGUUGAGCUGAACAAGAAUUUUAUUACAAGUUAUUUACAUGUGCAUGGAAAACUUAUAACAAAAAUCGGUAUGGAAACGUUCUAUGAGUGUGCGAGUUUGAUGCUGCGGCAGUUCCGCGCGUUGUUACACCGCCAACCGCUGCCGAUGCCCGCGGCCAGGCUUCUGCAGUUGACUGCGCUAAACAUGUUUGCGGUGGAAACUACUGCUGCCCCACUUAAAGACGGAAGCGGCGGUGGCGAGCGAUCAGCGUGGCUGGAGUGCGCUCUGGGCGUGUCGCUGCUGAUGUUCGGCGCGCUGGUGGAGCGCUGCUGCGCGCUGCUGCCGGAGCCGCAGCACACGCAGCACCACGCCGACGCGCUCAUACUGCUGCCUGCUAUUAAGGUGUGGUCCGACUGGAUGUUAUGUCACAGUAGCAUAUGGAAUCCACCACCGACAUUCGACAAUUUUGAUACAGAAAGUGAAAACGACCCUUGGGAUUGGCUCGCCAAACUUAUGAAUAUUCUCGAAAAAUUAGACGACAAAUCAAUAGAUUUAGAAAAUGAACCAAAAGAAGGGUACGUGUGCGUGCGGCUGGGCGAGGACGCGUCGCUGGGCGGGUUCACGCCGCUCAUGUACAUGGAGCCGGGCGCCGCCUACUGCGCGCCCGCCGCGCCGCUGCAGCGCGCCGAGCACGCGCUGCGCACCAGGAAAUUGCUCUUCUUCGGCACCGAGUACCUGGUGGGCGUGGAGCCGCCGGUGCUGCGGCUGGAGUAUCCGGCGGAGGCGCCGCCGCGUUACGUCAGCGCAGUGCAGCGCGCACAACCCCACCACCCCCCACUGCGGAAUUUGACGGAAGCAUCGGAAGAGGAAGGCAGUGCGACCGAGACGGGCAGCUUCCCCGCCAGCAGCGACGUGCUGGAGUCGGCCGGCGCGGACGAGGCCACGCGCUCGCUGCUGCGGCGCAAGGAACAGCUCGAGACCAGGAAAGCGACCAUCGAACGUCAUCGACAACGAAUGCAGGAGAUUCUGCGCACGAGUUCUGUAGAUGUGGCUAUCGAGGUGCGUCCGCGAUGGUUGGUGCCCGACACGAACUGCUUCAUCGACCACCUGGUGCUGAUACGCGCCAUUGCCACAGCUCCCUCGCAGCCUUACACCCUCGCCGUGCCUCUUGUCGUUUUGACCGAGUUGGAGGGGUUGUGUAAAUGUUCCCGUGUGGGCGGCGCGGCUCGCGAGGCGCUGACGUGGCUGACGGGCGGUGCGGGCGGUGCGGGGGGCGCGGGGGGCGCGGGGGGCGCGGUGCGGCUCGCCACCACGCGCGGCUCGCUGCUCGCCUCGCGCGCCUUCACCGCCGAGCGCGACCACGAGCGCGCCACCAACGACGACCGCGUGCUCGCCACCGCGCUCAACUUGCACGCCAACGUGUCCGCCGAUGCCGGCGCGCGCGUGGAGGAGGGCGGCGGCGACUCGAGCGCGCGGCGCGAGGUGGUGCUGCUCACCGACGACCGCAACCUGCGCGUCAAGGCGCUCGCCGCCGACCUGCCCACGCGCGACCUGCCCUCCUUCGUGCAGUGGGCGGGCUUGCACCCAGACGACAUCAAGAAAUCGCAGUCGGUAGACGAUGACACCGCGAAAUGCAAAUGAUGCAACACGUGAUAUGUAUAAGUGAAAUAGCUCUCGGGUCAUGAUUUUCAUAACUAGUGAUGUGGAACGUGAGCGAUGGAAGUUAUUAAUAAGUAUAAGCACGGCGUCGUUAGCGGCGCUGGUCUCGAGCGGUGGCGAACGGCCGCGUCACGUCUAAUUACAUAGUAUAGGAUUUGAUUAGAGUAGGUAAUCAUAAUAAAGUAUGCAAGUCCCACGAGUGUCAACAUUUCGAGCACAGCUCUGAGGUCACGCAUAUUUCUUUCAACGACUUACCACAAACUGUGGUGACUAAGUUGUUUGCAUGCGAUUUAUUAAAAAAAAUGCUAAGUACAUGAUUGUAAAUUCUAGGUUUUUGUUAAUAUCCUCGUGCCAUUAGUUGUAUUUCAGUGGAAUGAAGGAUGUUAUGGUAAUAUAAUAUUAUAGUAGUUGGCUUUAUAAAUACAUUAAAAAAAAAGAAAUAAAAAAAGAAAAAUAUAUUUUUUUCUGUUAGAAAAUAUUGAAUCAUUAUUUUGUUAUGAUACAAAGUACAAAAAUGGACAUUUUGAUAGCACCGUGUUUUUCGAGUUUAUAUUGAAGUUACACGAUGAACACAUUUCCAUCACGGAUCCGUAUUAUAUUUCAAACGUUUAUCUCUUUAUAAUAUUAAAUAUUAUGCUGUAUUAUCGAAAUAUGUUUGUAAGCUUUUAAUUCCAAUAGUUUUAUAUUGAAUAACUCGCGUAGUGAAUAAUAUUGUGUUGCUGAAGGUUUUACUUAAAUUUUUACCUAUUACAAAAAUCUCAAAUAACGCAUGUCAGUAUGUAAUUCAUGAAUAUAAUUUUUAUUGAUAAAUGAGAAUAUUGUAUAAAUUGUAAUAAUUAUUGCGUCGUUAAUGUUUAUUAAAUCGUGUCCUCUAUUAUUUUUGAAACUUUCGUGAAGUUACUUUUGUCUUAAUCAUGACCUAUUAAAAUAAACUAUGAAUCACUUCAAAGACUAA